UCUAAGGAUGAACCUCCAGGGCUCACGUCCUAUUGGUUCGUUCGAAGACAAAAAUACCAGGCGGGAUGUCGCCGUCUCCGUUUCUCUUUCCUCUUUCGCCGCGGGCCUCGAUGGCCGGCGGCGCGAUCGCGAGCCCAAGGGCGUUACCGCCCUUUUGGCGGGCCGCUAUAGGCCCGUAGCUCAGGUGGUUAGAGCGUACGCCUGAUAAGCGUAAGGUCGGCAGUUCAAGUCUGCCCGGGCCUACCACUCCCUGCGAACGGUGAUCGGAUCUGAGGGGCCAUAGCUCAGUUGGUAGAGCGCGUGCUUUGCAAGCAUGAGGUCGUCGGUUCGAUCCCGUCUGGCUCCACCAAAUCCGCGAUCGAGGAAAACACAGAUUCCGCCAGGCCGGAGCUCAUGAGAGCGAGGGCAGGGUGGUUUGACAUCGUGAAUGAAGGGUCAGUCCGGCGCUCCCCAGCGCUUAAAGGACGGAUCUAGACAUCAAGCAAACUACAAAGCGCAUGUGUGGGCGCUCGAAGGACCUCCCUAGGGUUCGAGAGCACCGUCCCCACGCAUGAGUUUUGCCGAGAACGAUCAAGCGCAUAAGGGCUUCUGACGGAUGCCUUGGCAUUGAGAGGCGAUGAAGGACGUAGCACGCUGCGAUAAGGUCCGGGGAGGCGCGAGCACCCUUUGAUCCGGACAUCUCCGAAUGGGGAAACCCGG
rnacentral:misc_RNA from 1 species